UGCCAAGGAUGGUGAGGAGCAGAAAUAUGACUGCGUCCAAGGGCGAACCGUCGGCAGAAGAACCAAGCAAUCCACCGGCAAAUCCAAAGACGUCCAGCCACUGCGCCGGAAAUCUGGAUGAGGCAAAAAACAUCCAGAUGAUCGGCAGCCAAAGCACCCCUGCGUCGGCUCGCGGAUGCAGCUUCUGCUCGCGUACGAGCAGCCAGAUGCAAAACGACAGAGUGAUG
rnacentral:misc_RNA from 1 species